ensembl:snRNA U4 U4 spliceosomal RNA
AGCUUUGUGCAGUGACAGUAUCAUAACCAAUGAGUUUUAUCCGAGGUGCUAUUAUUGCUAAUUAAAACUAUAGUGUUAUUUUCUCUGCUAAAAUAAACAUGAAUAUGCACUUAGAGAUUUUCAUAAUUUUAAAUUCCCAAGUGU